rnacentral:lncRNA from 1 species
CCAGGGGCAAAACCGGAAACACCCAGAUCACGGCCGAGCUUUACUAGUUUUGUUAAAAUAAUGACAGAGGCUGAUGACUUUGAUUAGAGACUAGAGAGAGAGGACAAACCACACAUGCGCCGACACUGCAGGGAAUAAAGAAGAGCACAGCAGGAAGAGGAGAGAGAAAUAGUGAGAAAGGGUAAACGAGGGUGUUCAGUUUAGUCGUGGCACUAAUCAACCCAGCGCGUUGAGUGCACGCAAAUUGC